CACAAAAGGAACUUCUGUGAAGGGCAGUUGGAGGCUCCUUUUUAAUCACUUCUAUCGGCUUAUUUUAUUGGGGUGGGUAACAUGGUGCAGUGUGUUAAGCCACUUUUUGUGAUACCCACAUCCCUCAUCUGAGUACCCCUUGGAGUGCCAGUUCUGAUCCAAUUUCCUGCUAAUACAUCCUGGGAGGCAACAGGCAGAGUGGACAGUGAGAGAGAGACAGAGAGAAAGGUCUUCCUUUGCCGUUGGUUCACCCUCCAAUGGCUGCCGCAACUUUCUACAUGUAAAGCCCAUUAAGAAAUAUCGCAAGGCAUUGGAGUCGACAAAAACUUCUUGGAUGAGACCCCAGAAGCAAACACAAAAAAGCCAAAAUGGACAACUGGGAGUACAUCAGGCUAGAAGCUUAGCACAAGAAAGGAAACAAUCAGCAAAACGAAGAGGUAAACAAGAGAUGGGAGAAUAUAUCUGUAAACUACCAUCUGAUAAAGGAUCUCCCUGACUAGUCAUCAGGACUAGUCUGAUGGCUAGACUAGAACCACAAUAGAACCAACCUAGAUGUCAACCAACUGAAGACUGGAUAAAGAAAAUUAUUGACUCCUGCUUCAGCAUCAGCCCUGUGUUUUCUUCUACUGAGGGAAAAUCACCAAUAGGACUUAUUUUAAGAAAACAUGUGAUCCCUUUCUGGUCAUGAGCUGUGCUUCUAUGUGUGGAACCUUCACUGGGAUCGUCUGACAAGGACCCCUACGCACUGAACGAAAGGAACACAUGGAUGAUGGACACUUCUGAUGAUGACGCCUGCACCGGAAGCACCCGUACCAGGUGGUGAAGUGAAGUGGCUUAAACGCUUCAUUCUAAGAUGCUGUGGCGCUUGCCCAUGGGUGACAUGGACCAGAGGAAACACUGAGCGCUCUUGAUGAUAUUUUUGGGACCGAGGUAACCAACCGGGAAUCACCUCCACCCAGAUUUCCUGUUAAAUGAGAAAAUAAAGCUCAUAAUAGAAGUAAGACUGUCUUAUUCAGGCAUUCUGUUAUUCAAAGCCAAAAACAUGCACAUGAUUAGAGAAUUGUUGGAGGUAAAUUAUGUGGGUAUUUAGAAAAUGACAGCCUUCAAUCUGGAACUGCAAGAGCUGGCAAAAUAGGGAAGAAAAAAUAACUGUGGAGCUCAGUGGAAGAGGCACGUAUAACAAAGAAUUAGCAAGGAAGUAAAUAACCUUGAUUUCUCACAUUGCUAUAUAAGCAUUUUGGCACUUACAAGAUAGUUUAUGGAAAUGCUUAUUGAACACAGAUGCUAUCUUUUUGCUUCCUUCAUAACCUGGGCGCAGUCUGUGUAUAAUAAUCAUAUUGUAAUUUCAGAAGCAAUUUUAACACAUUGUUUCCUGAAUGUCAUAUGUGGGCAUGCAAAUAAGUAAUCAAAAGAAUAUAAUAUCAUUUAAAAGGAUUAUUUUUAUCUGUACAAAUUUUAGAUAAUUAUUUUUAUCUGAGACCAUCCCUACCCAGCAGUUAAAGUAUGGACAUAAUUAAUCUAGUUUAGAAUGAAUAUUUAGUGUUUUUGAUAAAAUGAGAAUAUAAAGACAGAAUUUUUCAGAAAGACAGAACAGCAUAACAGAGGAUUUCACUUACAGUCCUUAUAACAAUUAAUUGUAAUGCUUUGUUGGCCAUUCUUUGUCUCUCAAACCACUAGUUACAUAUUUGGAUAUAACACACACUUAAUGUUUAAUGAAAUGCCAAUGAUAUAUAAUUUGUACCUUCAAAUAUUUAAUUGCUCUUUAAGACCUUUAUAGCAGAUAUUGAGUAUUUUCUACGUCCUAGGAGCCAAACUAGAUGCAGAAAACAAAGAUAGUUGUUUUUGUCUUCUAAGUAUGUGACUGAUAGACAUAUCUGUGAUAAUUCAUUCUAGAGCAGGCAUUGUGAUGCAGUGGACUAAGCCCCGACUUGGCACACACACAGUCUUUUUUUGGAGUUCCUGAAAUCUAGCCCUGGCCACUCAGCUUCCAGUUUCACUUCCUGCACAUGCUCACCCCAGGAAGAAGCAGACUAUGGUCCAAGAACCUGGAUCUUUGCCACCCACAUGGGAGACCUAGAUGGAAUUUUGGCUCCUGGCUUCAGCCUGGUAUAGUCCUGUCUGUUGCAUGUAUUUGGAG